CACGCAUAUAAAAGCAUAAAAGUAAGAAAUUGAAAAUACAGAAACAAAGACUUUUUAAAAAGGUUAUUUGCCUUAGCGCAUUGAAGAAGCAAUAGUGAUAUAUCUUCAAUUUCUUCUUCUUCCUGCGCAAUAAGUUAAGAGAAAUUUUUGAUAUGGGAGUGAAUACCUUUCUUGAUUUGUAUUCGUUUUCAUUUUCUUGUGCCCUCUGCUCUCUUCCAGUUCUACUCGUCAUUUUCUCAAGAAGAUAUGCAGAAUCCCCUUGGCGUUUAUCUGAGUUAGCUUCUAUGUUGAAAACUAAGGCUGAGAGUAUUCUUGUGUUUUAUGAUGUGACGCCAUCCGAUCUGAACUGUGGAAUGUAUGCAGAUGCCUUAGUGCAAUAUUUGGAGAAGGGCAUUCACCCCAACGAAUUUGUGGAGUGGAAAGAAGCCCUCAGUGCACUCUUGGCUACAAGCUCAACGGGCAUACAAUCAUGGUCAUGAUAAGCUGAUCGGUUUGCUGCGCUGAAGAGAUAGACAAGAGGAAAGCAGCAGAUGACGUCAAAAGAAGAACAAUAAAGUUCAAAUAAUUGGCAUCUUUGGAAUGGGGGUUUGUAAAAUUCAAUCACAACCGUUCAGAAUUCUAUGAAUCAUGUGUUGCGAUUACAGUGAGAGAAACAUAUGCUAAAAGCGAAUUAUCUUCUCUGCAAACUAAACUCCUUGAAGAUCUGCUUGAAGAAACACGCUAUAUCUAGCGUGGUGUUUGAAGGUGCAGCUCUUUGUUCUUAUGCUCUCUUAUAGAUGACGUGGAUUGGGUGGACCAGUUAGAUGCCCUAUUCUACACAACUUUCCUUGAAUCUUAGUGGUCUGUAAUUGUCACAAUUUGAGUUUGUUGAGCUCUCUAGUCUUGUAAUUGCCAUAACCCUAGAUGAGCUUGCUGAAAUCUAUAGUUUUGAUAGUUUGAUAAUUGGUAAUUGUCACAACCCAAGAUGGAUUUGUCGAAUCUAAUAGUUUGGUGUGAAAACAUAAUACUACAAAUAUUUGUUGAUAAUGUCCGAACUUGUCCAUGUUACAAAUUUUUUCCAUUGGUUUGCAUUUCGAUGAUCACAGGAGUUUUCUAAAAGGGUUUGCAGAUUUGUCUGUGGAGUUUUCUCAAAGGGUUUGCAGAUUUGUCUGUGCCAAGUCUUAAGCACGGGAUGGAUCUAUUUAGUGUGCUGAUCAUGCUCUUAUGGAGGAUUUCAAGAACUCACAAGAGUCUUGCUUUUGCUUUUAUAAGGCAUGACCAUCUUCACAUAUGGGAAAAUAAAUGUAAACUAAAUUUAUUCUUCCUUGUCAGCUGUGGCACAGUGUGCCUCUUGCUCUAGAUUUCAACUCCUAUGAUGAUAUUGAAAAUUUUACAAGUUGUUGGAAGCUUUCUGUAGCCUUAUCAUGUUUUAAUUUUUUCCUUUUGGCAGCAUAUAUUUGAUCUGCACCAAUAGCAAUGAUCUUUAGAAACUGGCAAUUUAAUUCAAUUUUUUAUCCCUUAA